GAUGAAGAACGUAGCGAAAUGCGAUAAGUAAUGUGAAUUGCAGAAUUCAGUGAAUCAUCGAAUCUUUGAACGCACAUUGCGCCCGCCAGUAUUCUGGCGGGCAUGCCUGUUCGAGCGUCAUUUCAACCAUCAAGCCCCAGGCUUGUGUUGGAGCCCUGCGGCUGCCGCAGCCUCCCAAAACCAGUGGCGGGCUCGCUAUCACACCGAGUGCAGUAGUUUACUCUUCGCUCAGGGCGUGUGGCGGGUGCUAGCCGUAAAACCCCCAACUUCUCAAGGUUGACCUCGGAUCAGGUAGGAAUACCCGCUGAACUUAAGCAUAUCAAUAAGCGGAGA
rnacentral:misc_RNA from 1 species